GAUGAACGCUGGCGGCGUGCCUAAUACAUGCAAGUCGAGCGAACAGACGAGGAGCUUGCUCCUCUGACGUUAGCGGCGGACGGGUGAGUAACACGUGGAUAACCUACCUAUAAGACUGGGAUAACUUCGGGAAACCGGAGCUAAUACCGGAUAAUAUAUUGAACCGCAUGGUUCAAUAGUGAAAGACGGUUUUGCUGUCACGUAUAGAUGGAUCCGCGCCGCAUUAGCUAGUUGGUAAGGUAACGGCUUACCAAGGCAACGAUGCGUAGCCGACCUGAGAGGGUGAUCGGCCACCCUGGAACUGAGACACGCUCCAGACUCCUUCGGGAGCCAGCCGUAGGCAAUCUUCCGCCAUGGGCGAAAGCCUGACGGCGCAACGCCGCGUGAGUGAUGAAGGUCUUCGGAUCGUAAAACUCUGUUAUUCGGGAAGAACAAAUGUGUAAGUAACUAUGCACGUCUUGACGGUACCUAAUCAGAAAGCCACGGCUAACUACGUG
rnacentral:rRNA from 1 species